CAAUAACAAUCCUUUUACCACAUAACUGCAAUCAGAACACGCCCAAGCUAUUUUUGUCUUUCCUUUCUCCUUGCUAUUCCCAUUUCCUAUAACUUCAUACACCCUUCACCCCAAAGCUAUAAUCACUCACACUAUUAAAUCUACCAGAAAAAGUACAACAUCGGGGAAUUAUCAAAAUGAUAAUGGAGAAAGUACAAUUAGGAAAAGGGAAUGCAUUUGCAUCAGAUUCACCAACUUACAAACCCCCAUUCAACAUCGGUGAUGAAGUGGAGGUCACCAAAGAAUAAACCGAUUAUAGCGGAGCUCAUUACAAAAUCAUCAUUGUUGAGCCAUUACAGCCAGUUGCUUCCACUCAUUACCCUUAAAACGAGAGAAAGAAAAGGGGGUUUUGGGUUGUGUACAAGCAUUUAUUAUCUGAUAAUGGUUAAUCGGUACCCAAAAGAGAGUUUGUUAGGAAGAAGUGUUUAAUUAGAAGUGUUUGGAGUAAUUUGUAGUCGAUUUAGACGGAAUAUUUACAGGGGUUUUCUCUAAUUGCUGGAGUUUUAUCAGUGUGAGUUUCUGUAUUGGAAGUACUGUAUAUUUUGAAGAAUUAAUAAGGGGAUUUUGUCAUAGCAUCUCUAUGCUACAGGUUGUAUUUGGUUUAGUCUAUGCAUUGGUUAUACUAUCAGUACAUUCCAGAAGAAGAGGAGUUUGCGAUAUUAUGUAGGAAAUUGGCUGCUAAAAGCAAAGGUUGGAUGAAGACUGUAUCGAGUUAUGUGAUUAGCUUUACUAAGGAGGAACAAGUUCUGCUUGACUGGAAUGGAUUUGUGGAAACAUAUGGUUUAUGUCAUCAAUGCAACCAAUUUUCAGACUGGAAUUCAAUGAUUUUGUAAGCGUGUGUCUGGUGUACAAUACUUUCUUGAACAUCAUCAUGGCUUUUUCUAUGUUCUCACAAAUUCUCGUAAUGGUGGUGAGGAAUCUUCACCUUCGAGUGGAGAGUAUUAUUUGGCUAGAUGCCCUGCUGGUACUUGACGUCAACAUGUUUGUAGGCUGAUGAAGGAUUUGUCUUUUCAUCUGUUUUGAGCUGAGGAUCUACCGGAAAGAGCUUCUCUUCCUUUUUAAGAAAGGGGUAAGGUCAGCGUACAUACUACCCUCCAGACCUCACUUGUGAGAUUACUGGAUAUGUUGUUAGACUGAUGAAAGAUUUGGACUAUUUCUAUGUACCACAUUCUAGUUAGUUGUUUUGGCUUUGUGAUUUGAGGCUAUAUGCUCGUUAUCUGCCAGCAUAAUUAUGAUAUGUUGGUUAUUUGGCUCCUGAAAAAAUAUUUCACAUAUUAUUGUCAGCUUGUUUGCCCAACUUGUCUACCGAGUAAGUGCAAAAUUGAGUUACAUGAACACAAACUUGUUGAUUCAAACACAUUUAUUUUUCAGUUUUUGGUUUUUAAUCAUCUGCAAGCUUCGACUGUAGAAUAUUAUAGAACCCAUUGGAGACAUUUUCAUCCAAAGAUAUGGACAUGCUUAAUGAACAUCUGAUGCUUUUUCUCAACAAAGAGGGUUCCUUAUCGAUAUGUUCUGUUGAUAUGCGAACAAUCAUCAAUUGUGAGGAACAAAUGAAAAUUGAUGAACUUAGCCCAUGGUUCUUUCCUCUUCCCUCUGAUAUGUGUGCAAUAGCUCCAGGGUCAAAUCAUGAUUUCACACGAUUUGUAUACCGCGCUGCUGUUUCUUCCCCAGUGGUAAUGCUUGUCAUUUUUUCCCCUUCCUCGGUGGUAAUAAUUAAUUGUCUUCAAAUGAUCUACACCCUAUUGGUUGUUAUAUUUUUGCUUUACAAUGUUGUUCUCAUUUCUUGUAUCUCUACUAAACAACAUUGUUGAUUGAUAAUCGUGUUUAUAUAUUACUCCACUUUGAGGUAUUCUCACUUAAUUCUAUGGAAAAUUUUUUACGGUCUCUCAAUCUCUGUUAUAUAUUCUUAAUUUAUCAAAUACUAACAUCAUGCUGUAUGGUAUGAAAAUUCAUCUUGUUUCCCCAUACUAAAACAUUCAUUUACUAAAUUGUCCUUUUCCUUUGAAGAAGAACCCAACAAUUACGCCUCAAUCCCAACUAGUUGGGUUAAAGAGUCAGCAAGUAUCAUGAAACUAAACUUUUGAUUUUUCCAUUAGAAAUAAACGGAUUGAGUUCAAAUCAAAUACGGCGUUCCUAGAAUCCCUAGUACCAUAAUAUGCUUCUCAGUGUUUCCCUUUUGAAAUAAAGACGCCUGAUGAUAUUGUUGACUAUGAUAUGUCAAGAAGAACGUUAUCCGUCAUUCAGCAAGAAGAAGUAAUUAACAUUUCCCACAUGACUAAGUACCACUCAAACAAUGAAGAGAGAAGCAGAAAUGAGCUUCUGGGCACCCCUUUAAAGAAGGAAGACAACAUUCAGAAUAAAGAAGCAUAGAGAUGGAGCAACUUUGCUGAAAUUUAUUCCUGUCAAGAAAAAGAAGUGAUUUCGCAUGAUGGUGAAAGGAUUCCUAUAACUAUUCUGUUCUCUCAUAAAGCACAUAAGAAGGGACAGUCUCCUGGGCUUCUACAUGGAUAUGCAACAUAUGGAGAAAUUCUAGAUAAAAGUUAAUGUAGCGAUCACUUGAGCUUACUUGAUCUUGGUUGGGUGAUUGCAUUUGCUGAUGUAAGCUACAACUAUCUUUUAUUGUAAGUUGGAUCUGGCAAUGCUCAAGAAAGCUUUUCUCUAAGCAUAGUUUGGCCACUGGUUGGGGGCUUAGCUAGGCGAGAAACUGCUAAGUAAGUCACUCAGAACUCUUUAUGCUCCGUCCUCCUAAAAGCAAAGCAAAGGAAAAAGUAGAAAGAGGGAAAAAAUAAAAUAAAAGAAAUGUACAGGAAACUGUGAUUUGAUGCAUUCACAGUGGUAGCCAUUUAAAAGCAUUUUUAAGCCACUUGUGUUGUUUUGGUAACUUAUAUUGUGUUUGGUAGAUUUUCGCUGAUUUACUCAAUGCAAUAAAAGUGGUAAAACUUUUGUGAUUUACUUUUCACCUUUUUAAGGAAGGGUGUGAGGUCUAACGGAAAGAGCUUCUCUUCCUUUUUAAGGAAGGGGUGAGGUCACCAUACAUAUUACCUCCCAGACUCACUAGUGGGAUUACUAGGUAUGUUGUUAGACUGAUAAAGGAUUUGGACUAUUAUUGUGUACCACAUUCUAGUUAGUUGUUUUAGUUGUGUGAUUUGAGGCUACAUGCUUGUUAUCUGCCAGCAUAAUCAGUGGAUUGUAUAUGUUUUCAGAACUUCAGACGAAGCUUAAGCUAUACUGAAUCUGCUUUGCUAUCUCAUUACAAGGUGGGAGUUUUAUUCUUAUGCUGUUAUAUCACUCUUUCACUCUAUGCCCUUAUAACUCAGGUACUUCUACAAAAUACUAUUUGGAGAUCUGAGUUCAGUAAAUGACAUGGUAACUUGUAAAGAACUACCGAAAGAUCCCAAUGAAUCUUCAGUGAUCAAAGAGAAAACAGAUUUAACUGGGCCAUACACAUGUCAAAGGGUUACUUGGUCAUGGAGAAAAGCGGGUAGUGUUUCUCCUAAACAUGAAUGUUGACAGUGUUACAGUGUUUCUCAAUAAAUCGGAUGGUUCUUACUUCUUAGCUUUGCUAUGUUUGUGCAAGAAAGUUUUCUGAUGGAUAUUAAGGUAUGCACAUUGUAUGAUCUUAUAUUCAUAUUGCUUUUUAUCUCUAGUGAAUUUUGAUUGGUCAUUCAGAGACAUUCCUCUUGGAUUCCCACCCAUGUGAUCCCAGCUUUAGAGCUUUGAAGUAGUAGAGAUGAGAUUUACUUAGUUCCUUGCUAUGUUGAAGAUUGGCUAUCAUUUGUAGACAAUCAUAUCUUCUGUAGGUUUUUGACUAUUUUGGGUUAAUCGGUUGUAUGCAUCCUGUUAAAGAAGUCCUACUUCUGUCAAUUAUGGGAUGUGGAGUUUAAUGAGGCUAACUAAAUUUUGUAUUAAGCUAGGCUAAUAACUUUAAUUUCUCUUGAAAGAAUUUGUUGAUCAUUAAUUUCUUGUAAGACAUUUUCUAUUAAGGGGAAGAAAGAUUUUGCUUCAAAUUA